CCAAGGCUAGGCGGUCCCAGCCUUCUUCUUCUCACUCAUCAUGCCGGCUGCAGUUCACAUUCCAUGUACAAUGGCACAAGCAGGGCCCGUCAGUAAGAGGAGAGCAAGGAGCCCACAGAAGGAUAACCAGAUGAACUACACAGCCCUGUGAGGAUCCAGCCAGACAUUGGAGUGAUGCAGUUGCUGCCCAGGAGUAUAAUGAUAGUCACCAAGCUGAAGGGGAAAAGAAGGAGCAGCCUGCAGAGCCUCAGUGGGAAGCCUGGCUCUGCCGACGCCUUGACUUCAUUCUCCUGGCCUCCAGGACUACGAGGGACAAGCAUCCGUUGUCACAGGCUGCUGAUCUUGUAACCAUUUCUUACAGCCACCCCAGGAGACUAUUGCAGUGGGCAAAGCUUUCGUCUCCACCAGAGCCUAACCUGACCUGGUAAGGGGACAGCCCUGGCCUACUCCUGCAUGCCUGCACAACCCUGAGAAAAGAAAUGAAACCAGACAGUGGCCCCCGAUCUGGCUCCGAAGUCCAGCCCCAGACCAGCAUCACAACAAACUGCCCACCCAGACAGCACCACAGUGUGCAUGGAGGUACUACUCAGGACCCUGUCCCCAGAGUUUAGAGAUCAAGACACCCAGGUUUGAGUGCUAGGAGGAGACUGAGGAAACAAGAUCCUUCCGAACAUGCUCUCACACAGCUCUGUUUUAACAUGAACACAGUUCAGGGAUCAUUUUUCCUCUCUAGGCAGGAAACUCCGUCUCAUUCCUUGUACUGGCUACGUAGUAUCUCAUGGCAGAAAGCCUGAAGGAAAUGGGAAGUCUGUCUAAUUUUGGGCUGAUUAGGGUUAGCAAAGACUGCUGACAGGCAGAAACUGACCUAAAAUGGUGUGAGUGACAGUCUUUGUGCAAGAAGCAGGAACAUCUCAUGAAAGUGGAGAGAGCGUAUUUCUUUCAGAGAAAUGCUGAUUUCGUCAAUGUGACAUUGAACUUAAACAAAGGGACAUAGGGAGCCAAAGCCUCAGACCACACAUGCAAACAGUUACUCAGGGCGGGUAUCAGAUGGUAGCCUAACUAAGAAUGGCAGGAAGUCACAAGAGAGAAAAGGGCCAGGACAUGAACUUGAGACAAUUUUUACUGCUCAGGUGCAUAUGUGCCCCUGCCCCAAGCCAGAAAGGGGAUUGGAGACCAGACACACUAUCACAAAGCAUGAAGGUUGGCUCAGGUGUCCUGAGACCCUGAGAUGAGUGAUGGGUAGGGGUGUUAUUGACAGCAGCAUAUUUCGGCCGUGCUGGCUGGGCUGACACCUAGAGCUUGUACAUCUCCAUGGGGAUAUAGCUGGUGAAGCUCCUGUCUGAGGGAGUUUCCUAGAGUGGACUGACACACGCCUGCAUCACCCGCUACACUCUCCCAGUCCCAGCAACCCCUCAAGGGUCUCCUGCCUGGCUAGCCUUGUACCCUGACUUUUUCCAGCACCCACCAGGAGCCUGCAGCCUGAUGCUCAGAUCUGCUCCUCUGGGCUUCUAACAUUCCUGGACACCAGGGCCUGUUGACAGCCUCACUGUGUCAAAGCUUCGCUCUGGGUUUCCUACCCCUGGUGUCAUAGGUCUCUGGUGUUUGCUGUGACUUACUUCCUUGUUGGUGGUAUCUUCUUUAUGGGAUUCUUCAUGUGACUGGGGCUCAAAUUAGAGUCACCCCUCAGUAUCUACGUGGGGUUGACUUUAGUCCUCACUUUCCACAAAUGCCCCAACCUGAGGAGGCUCAAGUGGCUGGUCUAAGAUGGCUCUGUGUUUGUAAAUAACUGGCAUGUGUGCUCGUGUAUACUCCAAAUCCCUCCUAGAGGACGUGUAGCCUAGUCCAAUGUGGGUGCUGCUCAGACACUAGCUGUAGCCUGUUGUUUGAGGAUAACACCGAUGAUGUAAACCACUGUGUUCAUGCACGUGUGUUUGGAGUAUUUGGGGAAUGCUGAAUCUGCAGAUGCAGAAUCCAGGGAUAGUAGUGCAGAAAGUUAUUCUGUAGACUCCUUGGCCAUCCCUCCUCAGAAGGACUGCGAGGACCAAGACUGGAGAUGUCUGUGUCCAGGGAAACUGCUCAUAUCAUUUGUAAAGUAAGCAGUUUUAUUUUGCCUUCUUGUUUCUGUUUUCUGAUCUUUGUGGUGAUUUUAAAAAUGGUCAAAACAUUGUAAACAUAUAUGUGAACUAUUUACCCAGGCAACUUGCAUUCCUUCCUCAGUCCCUUCCCUUUCCUCCAGGUUUUACCUCUUUUUUUCAGACAUACUUAUUUCAUCAGGAAAGCGAUGUGAAAGGCAGCCGAAAUUUCUGGACUGGGUCCCUACAUAACAGUUGAGCAGAGCUGAGUGGAAAUACCUUGACAAGAUCAUAUUCUAGCAGCAGAAUUGUUCGGAUGUACUGGGAGUGGGAAAAUCCCCCACAAUCCUCUAUGCCUUGUCCUAGCUCUCAGAACCACCACCAGCAUUCAAGGCAUGUUCUUUCACAUUGCAUUACUAUGAAAAUAGUCUGCUUUCUGCAGAUAAUGUCUACUAUGUGUGUUACGCUAAAACUGAGUGUUUCCACUUGAGAUCCAACUGGCAUCUUCCCAUUGCAGUCCAUAGAAAUCAAUCAUGUUAGUCUCUUAUGACCAUUUAAUAUUCCUCGUAGUGUUCCAUAUUGUUCCAGUGCUCAUUUGUAACUUAGUUUACAAUUUAUUGAGUAUGUACUCUAUUCAUGAAAAGUUCAGGAUCUGCCAAUAAGUCUGUAAUGUAUCUGUAAUGUAGACAGUCCCAUCUUACCAUGAUUUUGAUUAUGACUUUUGAGUUUACAGUGGUGCAGAAGGUACCAUUUUUGCUUCUAGUUCAGCAUACAGUGUAUUAUAUAAUACAUCAUAAAGCAAUGUAUAACCUGACUUUACCCAACUAUAGGUUAAUAUAGGCGUUCCAAGAACAUUUAAGGUACACUAAGCUAUGUAUUAAAUGCUUUUGUUUUGUUUGGGAUUUUUUUGGUGUGAUAGUUUCAAUUUGCAGUGGGUUUAUCAGUAAGUCAGUCAAGCAGCAUUUUCACAUUCUUUGUAUCUAAGAGCACACUUUUGCAUUAUAAGCUCAUUAACAGUGAAAUCUUGGCUGGAGUAGAAGUUUUAUAUCUUAAGAGAUUUGAUGCCAUUUUUCCUCCAUAAACUUUUCACUAGUUUAUGCUGUGGGAUGUUCUGUAUGUUAAAUGUGUUGCUGAUUGGUCAAUAAAUAAAUCACUGAUUGGCCAGUGGCCAGGCAGGAAGUAUAGGCAGGACUAACAGAGAGGAGAAUUGAGAGAACAGGAAGCUGGGUAAGAGAGACACUGCCAGCUGCCAUCAGGACAAGGAAGAUGUAAAGUACCAGUAAGCCUCAAGCCACGUGGCAAGGUAUAAAUUUAUAGAAAUGGAUUAAUUUAAGCUGUAAGAACAGUUAGCAAGAAGCCUGCCAUGGCCAUACAGUUUGUAAGCAAUAUAAGUAUCUGUGUUUACUUGGUCGGGUCUGAGUGGCUGUGGGACUGGCAGGUGAGAGAGAUUUGUCCUGACUGUGGGCCAGGCAGGAAAACUCUAACUACAAGUUUAUAGAUCCGAUGAUGGUAAGAUAAUUUCAGCCUGGCAUUUCCAGAAACUCAGAGAGCCAAUGCCAACCUGCAGGAACUUGUAUGGUGUAGACAAGGCAUCAGGAUCUUUGGUGGGCUCACAUGGUGGAGAUUUUCCUACGGGAUCUGCAGCAUUGCAAGUUUAGAUGGUAGCGGAGUGAAGGGUGUAAGGAUUCGAACCAGAAACCAUCAGUUAUCUGUCAUGACAGAAGGAAAAUGGACACUGAACUGAGCUAAUGAGAGCAAGUCCAAUUGUUUGCAUUGGCAUUCAUUGCUUCCCCUUCACAGUGAAUCUUUCUGGAAGGAGCUCUCACUGUAUCCACAUAGGAAGCUGACAUCUCACCCAGGAAGGGACCUAAGGUCUUCUUGAUGGUGAGUCUACCCAUGAGAUUCCUGGAUAUUUUUGUAACUGUUUUUUUUUUUAUUUCAUUUCACACUUGCUAAAGAGGUUUUAUACUUUUUCAUGUGUCUUUUAUUAAAAUGAUUUCUGGAAAACAUGCUGAGCUGUGGCUUUUGGAAGCAAUGGGUGGAAUGCUGCCUGCCUCAUAAAACUCAACAGAAAGCGUGCUGAUGGACAAAAUGGUCCACGGCCCAGGAGCUCGGCAUGUGCUCUGGAGUGGGUCCUCCUGAGCGGAAGUCGUAUUGCCGUGCCUGGAUAAUAAGGCAUUGAUGAAACAACAACCAAACAUGCCUUUUCUCAAGCUGGACUGAGGACUGAUGCCUUGAAAAUUGUUCUAAGCUGGUCAAAAACCUGUCAAGAACCUACCAGCAAAAAUGACAGAAUCUUUCAGGCUUUGCUUUGUACACCCACCUGGCACUGGCCAACACGAACUUCUCUGUGUUGUUCAUGAACAUCUGUGGGUGGAGAGACACAAAGAAUGCAUCCUAGAAGCCCAGGCUGGGAGCAUGAAAUCCCCCAGCCCCACCCAUCCUGUGCAGCUGGGUAUGCAUGGCAAGACACAUUACCCAGGCCCCUGCUUGACUGGACUAUGUGGUUUUUCAGAUGUUUCUCUGAGCCUAUCUCAAAUAGCCUAAAAUAUAUCACCUCUUCUCGGAGUAUGUACCUUGUUUGCAUCCCCUGAGAUAAUCACGUGGUAUCCACGUGAAUGAGGAACUAGGGGAUUAUCAACACUGAAAAUCUAGAGAGGAGGCAAAGCUAGGCAGGAGGAUGAAAACAGGAAGGAAGAAAGGAAGCAAUUAGCAGUGUUGUACACUGCCAACAGGCAAGAAAUUACUUCUCUGGGGUUACCAAUUAGACACUCACGUGUUGCCAAGGGUGAGCUCCGCUGACUGGUCAAGGUAGGAGCCAGAGUCCUCAGUGUCGAAGCUUGCUGCUCCACCUGCCCCUUCUACUUCUUCCUGCUGCAGAGGCCUCUCCAAAAUGAUGUAGAGUAAUAGGGACACACUACAGUACACCACUGAGGAGGACACACUACAGUACGCCACUGAGGAGAGAGCUGUAGAGAUCCCAGGUCCACCCCCACCAGCUGACAGGCUGGAGCAAAGGGCCUCUGUUGUCAUGCUUCAGAGCCUCUGUCUGUCAUGGUGCAAAGGCCUGAGGUAAGAGAUGAAGCUGAAGAUCAAGGCAGAAGCCACACACUGCCCAACUGUGCCACACUGAUCAGCUCCCUCUUCCUGGAGCAAGGAAUUCCCGGUGCUCUGUGACCACCUGUCUCCUUUCUUCCUUGGCUGCCCUCUGGAUUUCCCGACUUAAGGAGGAGUUUAAAGAUCCUACCUUCCCAGACCAGUUUUCACACUCAACCCAGAGAUAGCAAGCUGUCAAAACACAGAACACUGUUCCAAGGAUGUAGUCCAACUUCUGAGACGUGGGGCCCAGGGCCUGCGCAUGAACAUCCAGACCACACAUAGAGGCCCAUUGCCUCUCCAAGGCAGGCUGGAAGGAUGGUAAGAAAACAGGGGAAGAAACCACAUCCCCUGCAUAUGAGGUCAACAGCCUUCCUCAUGAAUAUUUGAAGCUACAUGGCAGCAACAGAAAAAAUGAAAUUUCUAAAAUUCUAAAUGACUUUCCUUAACUUUGUCAAAGAACAACGUGAGUGGUUUUUGCAACUUGGUAAUGCGUUCAGUGCUUUACAUACACUAAUUUUGUUUGUUUUUUUAUUCUGACCCUGUACGGGAAGUUCUGUUGUUCUAGGCUGUUUGGGGCCUUGGUGAAGCACACUGAGGCUGGGUCACAUCCAGGAGCUUGCGCAAGCUCACAUUAGUAGAGAAUGCUGGAGAUGAAUGGAGACGGAGUAGACCGUGGAUACAGUGUAGGGAGGUCAGGGAGAUGGAGGGUGGGAAGAUGUGUUAAAGACCGCAAAGACACAAACUGAUGGAGGGUUGGAGUCUAAGAAAUGAUUGCAUCACAGGUAGAACACCAUCAGAAGGGAUUAAAGGCAUCACACCAACACCAGGUCAUUUAUAGCCAGUGAGCUGUUAUAAAGAGAUGUUACAUAAGUAUGAUAUAGUUGACAGGGUUAUAUAAGUCAACAUAGCUAGAAGAACAUCACAAAUAAAUGAUACAUGUUUUAGAUCAUAGACAAUCUAGAUAUCCUGAGUCAGUCAUUAUAAUGCACACAUAAACCAAAAUAUUAUACAAUAGGCUAGAAAUACAUACAUUAUCAUCUGUCAAUCAAAUAAUGAACUAAUUUUUAAAAGAAGUGUUUGGGAAUGGGCAGGAAUCUGAUAUCCACCAAGUCUGGCUCAGUGGCUCUCGAGUGUGUCCCUGAUGAACAGAGACAAUAUCAUCUGAGAACUUGUUCCAAGUCCACAUUCUUAGGCCCUAUCCUAGACCUACAGACUCAGAAAAUCUGGCAGUCAGCUGUUUGUGGCAGCAGCAUGCCCUGCGGGUGAUUGUAGUGCAUGGUGAGGUCUGAGAACUACUGUGUUAGAGACCAAGGCUUUCACCACUAAACCUGCCAUCUGCCCAGACACAGUCUGUGGGAACCAGAUCACGCUUAGUUGUGGUACUUAGUGAGUCACCAAGCCACAGCAUCUGUGAACAGACUGAUGAGCUCAUUGUCCUGGGUGUGGCUCCUCGUAUCCAACUGCUACGGUUUGGUUAUGUUUAGUCCCCAAAGGUUUGUGUGCUGGAAA